rnacentral:rRNA from 1 species
AUGUCGGGGCACGGCCGGAGAUUGGCGGACGGCAGCCGGAGAUUGGCCACGGAUUGCUGGAAGGAAAUGAAGACGGCGGUGAUCAAUGACACGUGGCUGCCGAUGUUGAAGCUGCCGUACCACUGUCUGUGCUGCAGCUACAAGGAGAUCGGGAAAGACGCGUGGCAGUGCGUCCAGUGCUGGACGCCGCUCAGCCUCACCGUCCUCUUGCUCUGGCUCCUCUACCGCCCCGACAAAUUCCACCCCACCGUCGACUCCGCCUCCCUCGCCUCCCUGGACCUCAACGGCAACUCCCUCCACUACAACCUCGCCGUCGACCUCAGCUUCCGAAACUCCAACAGACUGCUCAGCAUCUCCUACCUCGACGUCGGUGCCGCCGCCUCCUACAACGGCACCAGCCUUGGCCUGGCCGGGAACUCGCUGCCGGGUUUCUUCCGGCAGGGACCCAAGAACACGACGGUGCUGCACGCGGUUUUCCAGGGCAUGGUCAUGGUGGCUGACGUGCAAGUGCAAGAGGGGUUGGCCAAGGAGCUGGAGAGGGAGCGCGGCUCUGGGAUGAUGCACGUGAGGGUGCGCGUGGAUCUCACCAUCAUGUACAAGGUGAUUGUGAAGGAGAUCUUCUUCAACAGCUAUGAGUGCUACCUACCAUUCACCCCGCUGCCGAAUGCUGUCUUCCUCAGCGACAGCGCGCCUUUUCCAGCAAUCCCCCCUCCUUCGUUUCAACAUAUAGGAUUAACAGCAAAUGGCAUCAGGAUGGAAGGUUACGGUGCACGGGGCGCCGCCGACGCCCAAUCUGCAUCGGAUCUUGGGCUUUCACCCGGACAUGGGUCGGAGUGGAGAGAUAGUGCCCUCAGCAGCGCCCCCAAGGAGGAAAGCGGCGCCAAAAAACGGUGUCGCCACUGCCGGCCAGCCAAGGCGGCCAAGGUUUCUCUCGGACACCGAUCUGCUCCACUAGAACACACCGGAGUUGGAUCCAGCAAGAUCCAAACCGAACCGGCGACUGGGAAGGGAUGCAUGGAAGGGAAGGGGGCAAUACCUCCAGAUUCGGCAUGCCUGCGGCUCGCCGUCCUCACGGCCGAACCCUCAGGCAUGCCGCACGCCACGCCAGUAGGGGCCGCCGCCCCUGGAUCUGAUGGCCUCCGCGAAGAAGCGCCAAAGACCCCGCCGCCACCUUCCCCGGAGCCCGCACGGGCUUUCCUGGCAUUCGCCUCCGGUGGCGGUGAGGGGGUGGGGGAGAUGAGCAACCCGUGUACCUUCAUGCUUUCGAUGAUGGGCCAAGUCACCAAUGGUAAUCACCAGGGACAUGGAAACCUGACAGUGACGUCGUGGUCUUCAAGGCUCAGCCUUCCCCGUGAUGCGAGAGAGGCAGCAUCUACCACUACUACCUCCAUCCAGUUAGCUAGGCACUCACCAUAUACAUACCCAGCUAGCUUAUUAGUGCAGCAAUGUGGGAACUUUGACAGUUCCACUGUCAGAACUGUGUUGCUGGACCAAUCGCGAGACAUGACUGGUACUGGAGUGAGUGGAAGGAGGAUGGGCACCUGCAUCGACGGUGAAGAUGGCAGCGGGGAAGCAAAAUUUGCCGGCGGUCGGAGGUGGCAACGCCCACAUACAGAUCUGCAGCAAGUAAAUUCUCUGCAUAACCGACCUCCUGAUUCACUGUUGCCUGAUCAGAACAAAAUCAGACUGCUUUGUGUUAGAACUAGAACAUAA